rnacentral:rRNA from 1 species
GAAAGAUGGUUUCGGCUAUCGCUUACAGAUGGGCCCGCGGUGCAUUAGCUAGUUGGUAGGGUAAUGGCCUACCAAGGCAACGAUGCAUAGCCGACCUGAGAGGGUGAUCGGCCACACUGGGACUGAGACACGGCCCAGACUCCUACGGGAGGCAGCAGUAGGGAAUCUUCCGCAAUGGACGAAAGUCUGACGGAGCAACGCCGCGUGUAUGAAGAAGGUUUUCGGAUCGUAAAGUACUGUUGUUAGAGAAGAACAAGGAUAAGAGUAACUGCUUGUCCCUUGACGGUAUCUAACCAGAAAGCCACGGCUAACUACGUGCCAGCAGCCGCGGUAAUACG